AAGCCGAUGACUGUGCGGAUUUUUGUAGGCUUGUUACCAAUGCCAUUCCCUUGUGGCUCAGACACAAUGCAGAAGAUUUUCAUAUAUUUUCAAAUGUGGGAUUAAGAAAGUACAAAGUACAAGUACUAAAAGAUGCCAUGGAAAUGAUCGAUUAUAGUACAUGCGAAUUUGCAAAUGAAUAUCAUGAGGAAUAUCAUGAAGGAACGGGAGCAUCACUUAUCAAUGUGGGCUGUUGGAUUACGAUCAAGCGUUACGUUCAUGACAAGGGGCCUGCUUGGGGCUUAAAUAAAAGGGAUUUGGAAGUCAAUUACAAAUAUAAAUAAAAUCCAAGAUUUAGUCCAAUUCAAAGUAA
rnacentral:sRNA from 1 species